ensembl:lncRNA
UUGUGACCAUGGAUGGUCCCAUCCCACCCAAACCCAUGACCAUGGAUGGUCCCAUCCCACCCAAACCCAUGACCAUGGAUGGUCCCAUCCCACCCAAACCCCCAGCCCCCAAACGCAGCCAGGAGGAAGAGGAGGGUGAUAAUGACGAUGACAACGACCACACCAGCGAUGACCAUGAUGACCGUGAUGAUCACCAUGACCGCAAAGACCACAAUGACCUUCAUGACCACCAUGACCACCAUGACCAUGAUGACCACCAUGACCACCAUGACCACCAUGACCUUGAUGUCCACGAUGGCUGUGAUGACCACAGUCACCAUGAUGACCACAAUAACCUUGAUGUCCUUGAUGACCACCAUGACCAUGAUGACCACCAUGACCCCCUUGACCACCAUGACCAUGAUGAUCACAAAGACCACAAUGACCUUGAUGACCACCGUGACCAUGAUGACCACAAUCACCAUGAUGACCACAAUGACCUUGAUGUCCUUGAUGACCACCAUGACCACCAUGACCACCUUGACCACCAUGACCAUGAUGACCACCAUGACCACAAUGACCUUGAUGACCACCAUGACCACCGUGACCACCAUGACUACCAUGACCUUGAUGAGCACGAUGACUGUGAUGACCGCAAUGACCACCAUGACCGUGAUGUCCACCAUGACCACCAUGACCUUCAUGACCACCAUGACCACCAUGAUCAUCAUGACCACCAUGACCACCAUGACCUCGAUGACCACCAUGACCACAACGACCAUGAUGACCACCAUGGCCUUGAUGACCACAAUGACCACCAUGACCAUGAUGACCACCAUGACCUUGAUGACCACCAUGACCUUGACGACCACCACAACCACCGCGACCGUGAUGACCGCAGCAGCUCAUCCCGCGAUGACGAAGCCGAGGAGGAUCUGGAAGAUCUGGAGGAGCUUGACGAGGACGAGGAGCCCCAUUUCCACACCAACCCCCUGUUCCAGCACCCUCUGCCCCCGGGCGUCCCCCCGUGGCGCCCACACCGUGUCACCCUGCCCGGUGACGGGGACACCCCCGGCCUCGGUGUCACCCUCGGGUGUCACCCUCCGGGAGGAGCCACCACCGGGGACGUCACCGCGGGCUGGGGUCAGUGAGGUCACCCCGACCUUUGGGGUUCAUUUGGGGUGGGGUCACCACGCUGCUGGGGACCCACCCCUGGUGUCUUCUUCUCACCCAGGAACCCCCAGACCCCCGGGCCCGGCGCUCUCGGACCCCCCGGAUGGGCUCCAGGAAUUUGGGGGUCCCCUGGAUCUGCUCCAGGAAUUUGGGGACCCCCCAGAUCCACUCCAGGAAUUUGGGGAUCCCCCAGAUCGGCUCCAGGAAUUUGGGGGUCCCCCAGAUCCACUCCAGGAAUUUGGGGACCCCCCGGAUCGGCUCCAGGAAUUUGGGGACCCCAAGGUUCCACCCCCGGAAUUUGGGGACCCCCCAGAUCCGCCCCCGGAAUUUGGGGGUCCCCCGGAUCGGCUCCAGGAAUUUGGGGACCCCCCAGAUCGGCUCCAGGAAUUUGGGGACCCCAAGGUUCCGCCCCCGGAAUUUGGGGAUCCCCCGGAUCGGCUCCGGGAAU